GAGGGUAUAGCUCAAGUGGUAGAGUGCAUGCUUAGCAUUCACGAGGUCCUGGGUUCAAUCCCCAGUACCUCUU
rnacentral:tRNA from 1 species